UGGUGUAGCUCAGUUGGUAGAGCAUCUCACUCGUAAUGAGAAGGUCGCGUGUUCGAGUCACGUCACC
rnacentral:tRNA from 1 species